rnacentral:rRNA from 1 species
UUAUUAAGCGGAGGAAAAGAAACUAACCAGGAUUCCCUCAGUAAGGGCGACUGAAGGGGGAAGAGCUCAGAAUGUGAAUCUGCGCCUCGGCGCCGAAUUGUGAUCUGCCGACUUGAGCGUUAUUGGCCGGGCUAAGUCCCUUGGAACAGGGCAGCAGAGAGGGUGAGACUCCCGUCCGCCUGGCCUUUGGAGCUUGAUGUCUAAGAGUCGAGUUGUUUGGGAUUGCAGCUCAAAGUGGGUGGUAAAUUCCAUCUAAAGCUAAAUACUGGUGGGAGACCGAUAGCGUACAAGUACCGUGAGGGAAAGAUGCAAAGAACUUUGAAAAGAGAGUUAAAGAGUACCUGAAAUUGCUGAAAGGGAAGCGAAGGAAACCAGUGCCUGUCGAGUCAUAUUUCUCCCUCCGCUUGCGGGUGGGGCGCUGUGUCUUGGCUAGUGUCAGGCUUGGUUGGGCCGGCUGGAAUCGCGCAGUGAGAGUUGAUCACUGCAUGUCUGCAGCGGGCUUGACUGAGGUUGACGAAAUGGUUUUCUUUACCCCG